rnacentral:rRNA from 1 species
ACUCCUACGGGAGGCAGCAGUGGGGAAUUUUACGCAAUGGGGGAAACCCUGACGUAGCGACACCGCGUGAGCGAAGAAGCCCUUUGGGGUGUAAAGCUCUGUCAGCUGGAACGAAAACAAUGACGGCACCAGCAGAGGAAGCAUCGGCUAACUACGUGCCAGCAGCCGCGGUAAGACGUAGGAUGCGAGCGUUGUCCGGAUUUAUUGGGCGUAAAGAGUUCGUAGGUGGUUUGUUAAGUUUGGUGUUAAAGAUCGGGGCUCAACCCUGGGACUGCACUGAAUACUGGCAGACUCGAGUGUGGUAGAGGCUAGUGGAAUUCCCAGUGUAGCGGUGAAAUGCGUAGAUAUUGGGAAGAACACCGGUGGCGUAGGCGACUAGCUGGGCCAUAACUGACGCUGAGGAACGAAAGCCAGGGGAGCGAAUGGGAUUAGAUACCCCUGUAGUCCCAUG